GGCUGUGAGUGGCUGAGGGCGGCGCGGCUCGGAUGACAUCAUUAGAAGAAGGCGUCACUUCACCCUCCUUGACGCACGGGACGGCCGGCAAGCAGGACGUCCACUUUGCAGCCUAGCCAGUACCCUUUAAAACCACCGACCAUUUCUCAUCUCAUCGAAGAGUCCGGCUCGUCCUGUCAACAUCAAGAUGGCUGGUGGUCACGGAGAAAAUAUUUCCAUUAUGCCCCCCAAGACAAAGAUAUUUGUUGGCAAAUUGCCACCGACGUGUAAAGACUUUGAGCUACGAAAGUUGUUUGAGAGGUACGGAGAAGUGACAGAAUGCUCCAUCCUGGGCAAUUAUGCCUUUGUUCACAUGAAGACAGAAGAGCAAGCUGCCACAGCCAUCAGGAACCUAAACAACUGGGACAUGAAUGGCUUCAAGAUCAGUGUUGAGCAAUCCACUGGGGAGAAGCGAGCUGGAGGAAUGGGAGGCAUGCGCGGGGGUAUGGGUGGGGGUUUCCGUGGCCGUGGUGGUCCCAUGAGGGGACGAGGCAUGGGCCGGCCUGGACCAUAUGACCGCCGUCCACCCAUGGGAGACCGUUACGGCCCUCCACCACCAGGUCCCCCUCCUGCUCCACCCAUGAGAAAUGGAUAUUAUGAAGACUAUGAGCGUCGAGACCGUCGUCCCCUACCCCCCGCAGGCGCCCUGGACCGGCGGCCCCCACCACCCAUGCCCAGGGAGCCAGCCUACAGGGACCCUUAUGACCGUUAUGACUCCUAUGACCGCAUGCCCCCUCCACCCAUGGGCAGGCGCACCCCACCACCCAUGGACCGCAGACCACCCCCCAUGGGAUAUGACCGGAGGGAUGACCCUUACGGAGACAUGUAUGGACCCCGACCAGAGCGAGACAUGUAUGGAGGUGGGCGGGAUAUGUUCCCCCCACGUGGCAGAUCUCCCCCCCGCCGUAGCCCUCCCCGCCGGUACACCUGGAGGAUGGGUAGACCUGACAGUUGAUCCUCACUGAGGACAAAAGGCUAAGGUCUUGGCUGAACUGAACUUGGCCAUGGUGGCAACGAGUCGUGUGCGUCGUCCCAUACUCCGUGAGAUGCUCCGUGACAAAGCUGGGGGUAUUGACCAGUGCAGGCAGGGGUGGGGGGUUACAUAACAAGAUGGCAGCCAGCAUGUGACUUGGCGGGAGAUUCAAAGGAUUAUUCUCGGCCCUGCUGAUGACAGACACCCUGUGCUCUGAUCUGUGAAGACAUAGUGGUGCCUCCCCAUUGAAGCUCUCAAGUGAUGGAGACUCAAGACUGAUCGAUUGCAACUUGUCUUAGGAGUAAUACUUUAGGAUCAAUUGCAACUUGUCUUAGGAGUAAUACUUUAGGAUCAAUUGCAACUUGUCUUAGGAAUAAUACUUUAGGGACUUGGAGUUGUGUGCUUCAUGUUGAUGGACACAGUUCAGUAGUUCGGUUGAAAUUAGCCCCAUCCACUUUGAGGAUGGCUGCUCACCAGUCAUGCUUCUUCUCACUGAGAGCAGACAUACC